rnacentral:rRNA from 1 species
UACGUAGGUGGCGAGCGUUGUCCGGAAUUACUGGGUGUAAAGGGCGCGUAGGCGGGGAUGUAAGUCAGAUGUGAAAUACCAUGGCUCAACCGUGGGGCUGCAUCUGAAACUAUGUUUCUUGAGUGCUGGAGAGGAAAGCGGAAUUCCUAGUGUAGCGGUGAAAUGCGUAGAGAUUAGGAGGAACACCAGUGGCGAAGGCGGCUUUCUGGACAGUAACUGACGCUGAGGCGCGAAAGCGUGGGGAGCGAACAGG